rnacentral:lncRNA from 1 species
AGCGUUCUCAGAACUGCUUGGUGACGUCAGCUUGAAUUGUUGCCCAGGCUGUAUGGACACUCAGGACACCUGGAGACCCCUGGAUGUUUGCAUGGAACCUAGGCUGCGGUGCUCUGCCUGGCUCUACGGCAACACUCCCGACAUUCCAACCUGCGUGUCUUCUGCGGGCCACUGUGGUCAACACUACUUUCUGUCACAUUUCGCAGCCGCGAAAGAGGUUGAGCGGAGCAGACAGACUGGCAGCCAGCCUUCCACCCAGGGAAUUCCGUAUCUUCCUUUAGCGUGUCUUGGCUAAAACACGUGAUGAGAGUUGUUGGCUCUUGUGGUUGAUACGCUAUGAGAAAGUAAUUCUGCAUUACUCGGAAUUUUAAUGGACACGUAUCUAUGUUUUCGAUAUUAAAUAAUGCUGAUGUUAUUUUCAUGAAUCAGUGCUCCCCAAGGUAGUGUUUAAAUAGGUUCGUGCGGAAUCAGAUCCUGAGACAAGGGCUUGAGUACAAAUGGCUUAUGUGGCAGUUGGGUGUCCCCGGAAGCACAAGUAAGGGAAGAUGGAGAUGGGAGGAAGGGGUGGUGGUCCAAGGAGCGCUAAAUGAUCAGGUGACCACUGUGGGCAGCUGGAACCCAGUCCUACUGGGGGCAUCUGGGAAACAGUAUGCACCAGGAUAUCCCACCCAGGAGCAGAGAAGUAAGGGUCCUAGCCCUCCAACUCCCAUCUGUCAUUGCUGAGGGCUGCUCCUGGAGGCGGAAAGCCCCCACACUCUGGCGCAUCCUGAGUAGGUCAAGAGAGAGCUCGUAGGUGGAGAAUCACCGGUGCUCACUGUCGGACACUGUUGACGUGUGCAGGCCAAGAAGUUAUGAGUGGGGAGCCCAGGCUGUCUGCUAGAGUUGCUCACAUCCCGCUGUUCAUGCCAUCCCAGCCCUGCCCUCUCUAGGAAGUCAUGAUCACGAUUUAAAAAAAAAAAAAAAAGGACUGACAAGAGGAUUGGCUAGAGAGACUCCAAUCACCUCUGCUGUGCUUGGUCCCGAUUCAGCAUCUCCUUCCGGUGGCUUUUAUUGCAGAUGGAAGGAAGCUCCUCAGCCAGCCCUUCAGUCCCCGGCUUCCAGGAUCCUCGUAAAGCCUCGGUUGCUGCACUUGCCCGAUCAUGACUGCCGCCAGGCAUAAGGGCACCAAGAGGUGGCCCAGUGAAUCCACGCGGUCCCAACCAGUUCUUCCUUCCCUCCGUUUGCUCAUGACAGUCAUGAUCAGUUACCCCUGCCAGUGUAGUAAAUCCUGUCUGUCUGACGACCCACUGAACUGA